rnacentral:lncRNA from 1 species
AAAACAACUUCAAGUCAGCAUCUUUUUUUCCUUUUCAGUGGAAAACCUACUUAAUCAGUUAAUUAAAAGGAAAAAUCAGGGAAAUGCUCAUCAAAAGUGUUGAGUCUGUUCUACUCCAGUCACAAUGGCUAUCUGUCAUCAAGAAAGGCAAAAAAACUUACUGGUGAGAAGAGAGGAUAGAAGGAAUCUGUAUGUACUGCUAGCGAUAGAAACUGUCUGUAGCAGUGGAUACCUGUAUGGGAGUUCUUUUUUUUUUUUAAAAAUUACAAUUAUGAUGGAGCUAUAUCAUCCUUUGGUAUAUGCUGAAAGUAAACGAACUCAGCAUAUGACAGGGAUUUGUAUGUGUGCUUCCAUGUCUAUUACAGUACUGCUCCCAAUAGCCAAUAAAUGAAUACCCAUCAGCAGGUGGAUAGAUAAAUAAAAUGUAACAUAGAUACAUAGCAGAGCUGUAUUCAGCCAUAAUGAAGACUGGAAUUUUGUCACUAGCAAGAAAAGAGAUGGAACUAGACGGAGAUCAUGUUAAGCAAAGCAGGCCAGAUUCAGAAACACAAACAUUGCAUUUUUUUUUACAAGUGGACUCUAGAUUUAAUAAAAUGAAACACAUGAAACUAGAAUAGGAUACUAUCUGGGAAGAGGAAAGGCUCUGGUGAAAAGGGGAGCAAAAAUGGUGGGUGUAUAUGAUGGAAGUAUAAAUAUGUAUGGAUAAAUAAAUGGAAGAAUAGAAGUCCAGAUUUUGUUCCAGUGUUGGUUAUCUUCUGUCCACAACUGACAGUGGAGUGAAUAAGUCUCCUUUUCAUAGAUUUAUCCAGAGACAUUUUAUUAGAGAUCUUGUAAGAGUGUGUCAGUCCUUAUUGCAGCUUUUAAAAGUGUGAACAAUGAAUUAAGCAAAAUGGCAUGUAUUUUUAUACAGUUUUGCAAAUGUUUAAAGGAAGGUGUUGUUUUAGAAUGUAGUAAGUUGUAAAGGGCUAGUUCAUUCUAUCUUUCCAAGUACUUAAAGUCAAAUGACACUUUUUCUUCAUUCUUUGGUAGAUAGUGACAGUUUAGUUGACUUCUGUUGUUUGGGUAAGUUAGACAUUUCUGAAUUAAGUCCCAGAAGCUGAUUU